rnacentral:rRNA from 1 species
AUUGAACGCUGGCGGCAUGCUUUACACAUGCAAGUCGAACGGUAACAGGCCGCAAGGUGCUGACGAGUGGCGAACGGGUGAGUAAUGCAUCGGAACGUGCCCAGUCGUGGGGGAUAACGCAGCGAAAGCUGCGCUAAUACCGCAUACGAUCUAUGGAUGAAAGCGGGGGACCGUAAGGCCUCGCGCGAUUGGAGCGGCCGAUGUCAGAUUAGGUAGUUGGUGAGGUAAAGGCUCACCAAGCCAACGAUCUGUAGCUGGUCUGAGAGGACGACCAGCCACACUGGGACUGAGACACGGCCCAGACUCCUACGGGAGGCAGCAGUGGGGAAUUUUGGACAAUGGGCGCAAGCCUGAUCCAGCAAUGCCGCGUGCAGGAAGAAGGCCUUCGGGUUGUAAACUGCUUUUGUACGGAACGAAACGGUUUGGGUUAAUACCCUGGGCUAAUGACGGUACCGUAAGAAUAAGCACCGGCUAACUACGUGCCAGCAGCCGCCGUAACAC